rnacentral:rRNA from 1 species
AAGUACGGUAAUUACGUGGGACGUAAAGCGCAUGCAGGUGGUUUAGUUAAGUCAGAUGUAGAAACGGCCCGGGGCUACAACCGUACGGUAAUUGCUAUUUAGAAACGUGGACAAACUAGAGUACUGUAGAGGGGGUAGAAUUUCAGGUGUAGCGGUGAAAUGCGUAGAGAUCUGAAGGAAUACCGGUGGCGAAGGCGGCCCCCUGGACAGAUACUGACACUCAGAUGCGAAAGCGUGGGGAGCAAACAGGAUUAGAUACCCUGGUAG